CCAGCAGCCGCGGUAAUACACGGAGGAUGCAAGCGUUAUCCGGAAUGAUUGGGCGUAAAGCGUCCGCAGGUGGCAAUGUAAGUCUGCUGUCAAAGCGUCUGGCUCAACCAGAUAAAGGCAGUGGAAACUACAUAGCUAGAGUAAGGUAGGGGUAGAGGGAAUUCCUGGUGUAGCGGUGAAAUGCGUAGAGAUCAGGAAGAACACCGGUGGCGAAAGCGCUCUGCUGGACCUUAACUGACACUGAGGGACGAAAGCUAGGGGAGCGAAUGGGAUUAGAUACCCCAGUAGUC
rnacentral:rRNA from 1 species